UAACCCAACUGCUGCAAUUCAAUCAAUGAAAGAGGCAGCUUGUGCGGUUGUCAGAAACAACCUAUCGCUAAUCAUUUUUCCUGAAGGCACCAGGUCCAAAAAUGGACGAUUGCUUUCGUUUAAAAAGGGUUUUGUUCAUUUGGCAUUGCAAACACGCCUUCCAAUAGUUCCCAUGGUCCUGACAGGUACCCACCUAGCAUGGAGGAAAGGCAGCUUGCAUGUUCGGCCAGUGCCUAUAACAGUCAAGUUUCUCCGUCCCAUAAAAACUGAUGAUUGGACGGCUGAUAAAAUUGAUGACUAUGUAAAAAUGGUACAUGACACAUAUGUUGGAAACCUUCCAGAGUCUCAAAGGCCUCUUUGUUAGAAGGUACCAGAAAUAGUCCCUAGAUCCUCCUAGUUGAGGCACUCCUCUUUGUAAUUCUAACAAUCUGCGGCAGUGCUUUGUUAAAAGCUACAAUAAGCAUAAGGGAAAUGUAGUGUUUAGAUUAACAGAACUACUGAUGUUUAUAGUGCUGAUUCUCUUGCAAUAGCACUGUUUGCUUGAUCCAUAUCAGUUGCAUAAUAGGUUUUUCAUGUGCCUUGUAUAACUGCUAUAAUUUUCUGCAAUGAUGUGAUGUUACCUUCUCACUGAUCCUGUAAAUGAACUUUUUUCCCCCCG
rnacentral:misc_RNA from 1 species